CCGUGCCGGUGGAGGAGUGGCCUCCUUAGCUCCAGGGGCCUGCAGUGAGAGGGUUUCAGGGUCCUCCUGUUAUAUUCUCCUCGAUGUGGCACAGGACUUCUGCCCCAGGACUUCUGCUUGGCUGGGAGUACCUCUGUCCAAAGGAGAAUGGUAGAAGAUCUGAAAAAUUCUGAAGAAGGAACUAUAAGUCUUGGUAUGGCUAGCAGGAUUUUCCCUAUGGGUACCAUAUAUCACUAGAAAUGUCAUGAAAAAU
rnacentral:lncRNA from 11 species